rnacentral:tRNA from 1 species
GCCUUCGUGGUGUAACGGUAGAACACUCGGCUAGUAUUCGAGAAGUCCAGUUUCGAAUCCCGGCGAGGGCA